CUGGCGGCGGCCUACACAUGCNAGUCGAGCGGAUGAAGGGAGCUUGCUCCCUGAUUCAGCGGCGGACGGGCGAGUAAUGCCUAGGAAUCUGCCUGGUAGUGGGGGACAACGUCUCGAAAGGGACGCUAAUACCGCAUACGUCCUACGGGAGAAAGCAGGGGACCUUCGGGCCUUGCGCUAUCAGAUGAGCCUAGGUCGGAUUAGCUAGUUGGUGAGGUAAUGGCUCACCAAGGCAACGAUCCGUAACUGGUCUGAGAGGAUGAUCAGUCACACUGGAACUGAGACACGGUCCAGACUCCUACGGGAGGCAGCAGUGGGGAAUAUUGGACAAUGGGCGAAAGCCUGAUCCAGCCAUGCCGCGUGUGUGAAGAAGGUCUUCGGAUUGUAAAGCACUUUAAGUUGGGAGGAAGGGCAGCUAAUUAAUACUUCGCUGUUUUGACGUUACCGACAGAAUAAGCACCGGCUAACUCUGUGCCAGCAGCCGCGGUAAU
rnacentral:rRNA from 1 species